rnacentral:misc_RNA from 1 species
GAUGAAGAACGCAGCGAAAUGCGAUAAGUAAUGUGAAUUGCAGAAUUCAGUGAAUCAUCGAAUCUUUGAACGCACAUUGCGCCCGCCAGUAUUCUGGCGGGCAUGCCUGUUCGAGCGUCAUUUCAACCCUCAAGCCCCAGCGGCCUGGUGUUGGGGACCGGCGACCUCGCCCGAGCCCGCCCUCCGGGGCGCGUGCCCGGUGCGUCCGCCGCCCCCGAAAUGAAUUGGCGGCCUCGUCGCGGCCUCCUCUGCGUAGUAGCACAACCUCGCAAGCGGGAGCGCGACGCGGCCACUGCCGUAAAACGCCCAACUUUUUUAGAGUUGACCUCGGAUCAGGUAGGAAUACCCGCUGAACUUAAGCAUAUCAAUAAGCGGAUGA